UGCUUUCUCUCUCCUCCCUUCACUCAAAAAUCUCAAAACUUCGGUUCUCUCUCAUUUUCUCCCGCGACGAAAGCCGCAACCAUGGAGGAAUACGAUGACACCGACAAUAAAGCAUCUGUUCUUAAUUUCGCCACCGACGAGAAAAUCUAGAGGCAGAAUGGAUUUGGGGAUGGGUGCGGUGUGUGCAGCACAUAAUUUUGACGCGGUGGUUGUCGGAGCUGGGAUUAUUGGGUUGAACUAGCUAGGGAUCUUCUUCUCUGGUCUGAUCUAUCUACCGUCGUCGUCGAUGCCUCCCUGCUCCAGUGCUACGUGUGCCGUAUCAUCCGGAUGUAUGCAGAGGAGACAAUUGGUCAAACAGUUUCCACCAGAUCAGCGAAGCUUAUGAUUGCGUACUAGAAAACCGUACUAGAAACCUGUAGUGAAGAUAUAUGAACUCACUCUCCAACUCGCUCCCUCUCUGCUGCUCCUACUUCUUCCAAGUAUUAUUUUUUUUAUUUUUUUUAUUUUUUUUUAAAGAUUUUUUAUUAUAACCCAUUUCCCUCUUGCUAAAUUGAUUAAUAACCUUUUAUAUUUGUGAUUUUUUAUUUUUUAUUUUAUUUUUAUUGGACCGUGAGUUGUGACCAUUGUCUGAAUUAAGUUUGAUUUUGGGAGUUUCUUGAUUGAAGUUUGGGAGUGAUCAUCUGCUAAUUUGAGCAUUUUUUUGUGUUUGUGGAUUUUUCCUUUUUCCCUUUUCCUUAAAAAGAAAAUUUUUGGUGGUGAUAUCAUUAUUUUUGUACUGUUACUGAACAGAUUUACACUAUAGUAAACCUGGUCCAUGCUAUGGACCAGGGUAUUAUAGUCUUUGCGUUGUUGCGUGCGAGAAGUUGUGCGUAACUGCCACGUGCUUUCCUAAUUAUAUAUAUGUUUUUUUUUUAUUUCCUUUUUCCCGGCUUUUGAACUUCUCACUCAACUUCUCUCUCUAAACUGCUUUCGAACUUCUCUCUGAAUUUCUCUCUCCAUUUCAAAUUUAAUUUCAGUGAUUAUUUUCAUCCAUUUGCAUCAAAUUACUCUUCCGAUCUUCUUUUUUCUAAAAAAUGGUGAAGAAAGCGGCACCGAAGAAUCCUGCAGCGAAGAAACCGGCAGCGAAGAAACUUGAAUUCGACAAUUCCGUCGCUGAAAUGGCUGUUGAAGCUCCUCGAAGGCGAGGAAGAAGGCCAAAUGUUGUUU